rnacentral:rRNA from 1 species
GACGAACGCUGGCGGCGUGCUUAACACAUGCAAGUCGAACGGAAAGGCCCUGCUUUUGUGGGGUGCUCGAGUGGCGAACGGGUGAGUAACACGUGAGUAACCUGCCCUUGACUUUGGGAUAACUUCAGGAAACUGGGGCUAAUACCGGAUAGGAGCUCCUGCUGCAUGGUGGGGGUUGGAAAGUUUCGGCGGUUGGGGAUGGACUCGCGGCUUAUCAGCUUGUUGGUGGGGUAGUGGCUUACCAAGGCUUUGACGGGUAGCCGGCCUGAGAGGGUGACCGGCCACAUUGGGACUGAGAUACGGCCCAGACUCCUACGGGAGGCAGCAGUGGGGAAUAUUGCACAAUGGGCGGAAGCCUGAUGCAGCAACGCCGCGUGCGGGAUGACGGCCUUCGGGUUGUAAACCGCUUUCGCCUGUGACGAAGCGUGAGUGACGGUAAUGGGUAAAGAAGCACCGGCUAACUACGUGCCAGCAGCCGCGGUGAUACGUAGGGCGCGAGCGUUGUCCGGAUUUAUUGGGCGUAAAGGGCUCGUAGGUGGUUGAUCGCGUCGGAAGUGUAAUCUUGGGGCUUAACCCUGAGCGUGCUUUCGAUACGGGUUGACUUGAGGAAGGUAGGGGAGAAUGGAAUUCCUGGUGGAGCGGUGGAAUGCGCAGAUAUCAGGAGGAACACCAGUGGCGAAGGCGGUUCUCUGGGCCUUUCCUGACGCUGAGGAGCGAAAGCGUGGGGAGCGAACAGGCUUAGAUACCCUGGUAGUCCACGCUGUAAACGGUGGGUACUAGGUGUGGGGUCCAUUCCACGGGUUCCGUGCCGUAGCUAACGCUUUAAGUACCCCGCCUGGGGAGUACGGCCGCAAGGCUAAAACUCGAAGGAAUUGACGGGGCCCCGCACAAGCGGCGGAGCAUGCGGAUUAAUUCGAUGCAACGCGUAGAACCUUACCUGGGUUUGACAUGGAUCGGGAGUGCUCAGAGAUGGGUGUGCCUCUUUUGGGGUCGGUUCACAGGUGGUGCAUGCCUGUCGUCAGCUCGUGUCGUGAGAUGUUGGGUUAAGUCCCGCAACGAGCGCAACCCUUGUUCACUGUUGCCAGCACGUUAUGGUGGGGACUCAGUGGAGACCGCCGGGGUCAACUCGGAGGAAGGUGGGGAUGACGUCAAGUCCUCAUGCCCCUUAUGUCCAGGGCUUCACGCAUGCUACAAUGGCUGGUACAGAGAGUGGCGAGCCUGUGAGGGUGAGCGAAUCUCGGAAAGCCGGUCUCAGUUCGGAUUGGGGUCUGCAACUCGACCUCACGAAGUCGGAGUCGCUAGUAAUCGCAGAUCAGCAACGCUGCGGUGAAUACGUUCCCGGG